CCUACGGGAGGCUGCAGUGGGGGAUAUUCCACAAUGGGGGGAACCCUGAUGGAGCGACGCCGCGUGGGCGAUGGAGUGUUUCGGCUUGUAAAGCCCUAUCAGCAGGGAAGAACAUGACGGUACCUGACUAAGAAGCCCCGGCUAAAUACGUGCCAGCAGCCGCGGUAAUACGUAGGGGGCAAGCGUUAUCCGGAUUUACUGGGUGUAAAGGUAGCGUAGGCGGCCUGGCAAGCCUGAUGUGAAAUACCGGGGCUCAACCCCGGGGCGGCAUUGGAAACUGCCAGACUGGAGUGCCGGAGAGGCAGGCGGAAUUCCAAGUGUAGCGGUGAAAUGCGUAGAUAUUAGGAGGAACACCAGUGGCGAAGGCGACCUUCUGGACGGUGACUGACGCUGAGGCUCGAAAGCGUGGGGAGCAAACAGGAUUAGAUACCCGGGUAGUC
rnacentral:rRNA from 1 species